rnacentral:rRNA from 1 species
GACGAACGCUGGCGGCGUGCUUAACACAUGCAAGUCGAACGGAAAGGCCCUGCUUUUGUGGGGUGCUCGAGUGGCGAACGGGUGAGUAACACGUGAGUAACCUGCCCUUGACUUUGGGAUAACUUCAGGAAACUGGGGCUAAUACCGGAUAGGAGCUCCUGCUGCAUGGUGGGGGUUGGAAAGUUUCGGCGGUUGGGGAUGGACUCGCGGCUUAUCAGCUUGUUGGUGGGGUAGUGGCUUACCAAGGCUUUGACGGGUAGCCGGCCUGAGAGGGUGACCGGCCACAUUGGGACUGAGAUACGGACCAGACUGCUACGGGAGGCAGCAGUGGGGAAUAUUGCACAAUGGGCGGAAGCCUGAUGCAGCAACGCCGCGUGCGGGAUGACGGCCUUCGGGUUGUAAACCGCUUUGGCCUGUGACGAAGCGUGAGUGACGGUAAUGGGUAAAGAAGCACCGGCUAACUACGUG